rnacentral:rRNA from 1 species
AUUGAACGCUGGCGGCAUGCCUUACACAUGCAAGUCGAACGGCAGCACGGGGCAACCUGGUGGCGAGUGGCGAACGGGUGAGUAAUGCAUCGGAACGUACCUUUCAGUGGGGGAUAACGUAGCGAAAGUUACGCUAAUACCGCAUAUUCUGUGAGCAGGAAAGCAGGGGAUCGCAAGACCUUGCGCUGAUUGAGCGGCCGAUGUCAGAUUAGCUAGUUGGUGAGGUAAAGGCUCACCAAGGAGACGAUCUGUAGCGGGUCUGAGAGGAUGAUCCGCCACACUGGAACUGAGACACGGUCCAGACUCCUACGGGAGGCAGCAGUGGGGAAUUUUGGACAAUGGGGGCAACCCUGAUCCAGCCAUGCCGCGUGAGUGAAGAAGGCCUUCGGGUUGUAAAGCUCUUUCGGCCGGGAAGAAAUCCUGUCGGUUAAUACCCGGCGGGGAUGACGGUACCGUAAGAAUAAGCACCGGCUAACUUCGUGCCAGCCGCCGCCGUAAAAC